GACAGAGGAGGCGAGCGUUAUCCGGAGUUAUUGGGCGUAAAGGGUACGUAGGCGGCUGGUCAAGUCUGGGGUUAAAGACCACAGCUUAACUGUGGGUGGGCCUUGGAAACUGACCGGAUGGAGUGGGGCAGGGGUUGCGGGAAUUCCCGGUGCAGCGGUGAAAGGCGUAGAUAUCGGGAAGAACACCUGAGGCGAAAGCGCGCAACUGGGCCGUAACUGACGCUGAGGUACGAAAGCUAGGGGAGCGAAUGGG
rnacentral:rRNA from 1 species